rnacentral:rRNA from 1 species
UCAUGGCUCAGGAUGAACGCUAGCGGCAGGCUUAACACACGCAAGUCGAGGGGUAACGGGGAAGCUUGCUUCCGCCGACGACCGGCGCACGGGUGCGUAACGCGUAUACAAUCUACCUUAUACUGGGGUAUAGCCUUUAGAAAUGAAGAUUAACCCCCCAUAGUCUCUUAGAGUGGCAUCACUUCUAGAGUAAAGGUUACGGUAUAAGAUGAGUAUGCGUUCUAUUAGUUUGUUGGUGUGGUAACGGCACACCAAGACUACGAUAGAUAGGGGCCCUGAGAGGGGGAUCCCCCACACUGGUACUGAGACACGGACCAGACUCCUACGGGAGGCAGCAGUGAGGAAUAUUGGACAAUGGAGGCAACUCUGAUCCAGCCAUGCCGCGUGCAGGAAGACUGCCCUAUGGGUUGUAAACUGCUUUUAUACAGGAAGAAACACCUCUACGUGUAGAGGCUUGACGGUACUGUAAGAAUAAGGAUCGGCUAACUCCGUGCCAGCAGCCGCGGUAAUACAGAGGAUCCAAGCGUUAUCCGGAAUCAUUGGGUUUAAAGGGUCCGUAGGUGGAUAAUUAAGUCAGAGGUGAAAUCUUGCAGCUCAACUGUAAAAUUGCCUUUGAAACUGGUUAUCUUGAGUUAUUAUGAAGUAGUUAGAAUAUGUAGUGUAGCGGUGAAAUGCAUAGAUAUUACAUAGAAUACCAAUUGCGAAGGCAGAUUACUAAUAAUCAACUGACACUGAUGGACGAAAGCGUGGGUAGCGAACAGGAUUAGAUACCCUGGUAGUCCACGCCCGUAACGAUGGUUACUAGCUGUUUGGACUUCGGUCUGAGUGGAUAAGCGAAAGUGAUAAGUACCCACCUGGGGAGUACGUUUGCAAGAAUGAAACUCAAAGGAAUUGACGGGGGCCCGCACAAGCGGUGGAGCAUGUGGUUUAAUUCGAUGAUACGCGAGGAACCUUACCAGGGAUUAAAUGUAAGUUGCAUUAGUUAGAGAUAGCUAUUUCUUCGGACCACUUACAAGGUGCUGCAUGGUUGUCGUCAGCUCGUGCCGUGAGGUGUCAGGUUAAGUCCUAUAACGAGCGCAACCCCUGUUGUUAGUUGCCAGCGAGUCAUGUCGGGAACUCUAGCAAGACUGCCAGUGCAAACUGUGAGGAAGGUGGGGAUGACGUCAAAUCAUCACGGCCCUUACGUCCUGGGCUACACACGUGCUACAAUGGUAGGUACAGAGAGCAGCCACUGCGCGAGCAGGAGCGAAUCUACAAAACCUAUCACAGUUCGGAUCGGAGUCUGCAACUCGACUCCGUGAAGCUGGAAUCGCUAGUAAUCGGAUAUCAGCCAUGAUCCGGUGAAUACGUUCCCGGGCCUUGUACACACCGCCCGUCAAGCCAUGGAAGUUGGAAGUGCCUGAAGUCGGUCACCGCAAGGAGCGGCCUAGGGUAAAGUCGAUAUCUAGGGCUAAGUCGUAACAAGGUAACC